rnacentral:rRNA from 1 species
CCAAUAGCGUAUAUUAAAGUUGUUGCAGUUAAAAAGCUCGUAGUUGAACUUCGGGGUUUACCCAUUGGUCAGGCUUAAUUGUCUGUACUGGUGAGAUAAAUCUCUACCUUCUGAGGAACUUUCAUGCCAUUUAUUUGGUGUGGGAGGAAAUCAGGACUGUUACUUUGAAAAAAUUAGAGUGUUUAAAGCAGGCUAACGUCUGAAUACAUUAGCAUGGAAUAAUGAAAUAGGACGGACUGAUUCUAUUUCGUUGGUUUCUAGGAUCACCGUAAUGAUUAAUAGGGAUAGUUGGGGGCAUUAGUAUUCAAUUGUCAGAGGUGAAAUUCUUGGAUUUAUUGAAGACUAACUACUGCGAAAGCAUUUGCCAAGGAUGUUUUCAUUAAUCAAGAACGAAAGUUAGGGGAUCGAAGACGAUCAGAUACCGUCGUAGUCUUAACCAUAAACUAUGCCGACUAGGGAUCGGACGAAGUUAAUUUUAUAAUGACGCGUUCGGCACCUUACG